rnacentral:rRNA from 1 species
UACGUAGGGGGCUAGCGUUGUCCGGAUUUAUUGGGCGUAAAGAGCUCGUAGGUGGUUCGGUAAGUCGGAUGUGAAAUCUCCAGGCUCAACCUGGAGGGGUCAUUCGAUACUGCCGUGACUGGAGUUCGGUAGAGGAGUGUGGAAUUCCUGGUGGAGCGGUGAAAUGCGCAGAGAUCAGGAGGAACACCCGUAGCGAAGGCGGCACUCUGGGCCGAUACUGACACUGAGGAGCGAAAGCGUGGGGAGCGAACAGG